rnacentral:piRNA from 1 species
UGAGCUGCUCUGUUCCUGCAUCC